UCGGGAAUAUUGGACAAUGGGGGAAACCCUGAUCCAGCCAUGCCGCGUGUGUGAAGAAGGCCCUAGGGUUGUAAAGCACUUUUAGUAGUGAGGAAGGCUCAGUAGUUAAUACCUACUGGGAUUGACGUUAGCUACAGAAAAAGCACCGGCUAAUUUCGUGCCAGCAGCCGCGGUAAUACGAAAGGUGCAAGCGUUAAUCGGAAUUACUGGGCGUAAAGCGCGCGUAGGCGGCUUGGUAAGUUGGAUGUGAAAGCCCCGGGCUCAACCUGGGAACUGCAUCCAAAACUGCCUAGCUAGAGUAUGGUAGAGGAUGGCGGAAUUUCCUGUGUAGCGGUGAAAUGCGUAGAUAUAGGAAGGAACAUCAGUGGCGAAGGCGGCCAUCUGGACCAAUACUGACGCUGAGGUGCGAAAGCGUGGGGAGCAAACAGGAUUAGAUAC
rnacentral:rRNA from 1 species